rnacentral:rRNA from 1 species
GAUGAACGCUAGCGGCAAGCUUAAUACAUGCAAGUCGAGGGGCAGCAUGACUGUAGCAAUACAGUUGAUGGCGACCGGCAAACGGGUGCGGAACACGUACAGAACCUUCCUUCGAGCGGGGAAUAGCCCAGAGAAAUUUGGAUUAAUACCCCAUAGUAUUACGGAGUGGCAUCACUUUGUAAUUAAAGAUUUAUCACUUGAAGAUGGCUGUGCGGCUGAUUAGAUAGUUGGCAGGGUAACGGCCUACCAAGUCUACGAUCAGUAACUGGUGUGAGAGCACGACCAGUCAAACGGGCACUGAGACACGGGCCCGACUCCUACGGGAGGCAGCAGUAAGGAAUAUUGGUCAAUGGACGAAAGUCUGAACCAGCUAUGCCGCGUGGAGGAUGAAGGCCCUCUGGGUUGUAAACUUCUUUUAUAUGGGACGAAAAAGGGCCUUUCUAGGUCAACUGACGGUACCAUGUGAAUAAGCACCGGCUAACUCCGUGCCAGCCGCCGCGGUAAUAC